GGAAAAUAAGAAUUUUUAUUAAGAAUAAAAAUAUAAGAAUAAAACAUAUGCAGUUGAUAGUUGUGGUUAUUAAUAGGUAUGAUAUAGUAUCAUAUACCCAGGUGAGACGGAAAUAAAAACAACAUUUCUUUUAGGCUACAAGAAAGAUUUACACUUGGCUAGUCUGCAUCCAUGGGUUCUGCAAUCACAGAUUCAACCAAAUGUGAAUUGAAAAUACUUGGGGAAAAAAAAGAUGGUUGCAUCUAUACUGAACAUGUACAGGCCUUUUUUCUUGUCAUUAUUCCCUAAACUAUACAAUAUAACAACUAUUUACAUAGCAUUUACAUUAUAUUAGGUAUUAUAAGUAAUCUAAGAAUGGUUUAAAGAAUAUGGGAAGAUGUGUGUAGGUCAUAUGCAAAUACUAUGCCAUUUUAUAUAAGGGACUUGAGCAUCUGUAAAUUUUAGUCUCUGCAGGGGUCCUGGAACAAAUCCCCCAUGGAUACCAAGGGACAACUGUGUUUAGAAAGAUUCAAAUUCACUGUAUUUUGAUCAGGCAGCAGAGACAGUAUGAAAAUAUUUAUAAUACUAUCUUCAUCCAUUCACUAAACAAAUAUUUACUGAAUGGCUACUAGGUGGCAGUCAUUAUGCUUGGUGCUGAAGAUACAGCAAUGAAUUAGCCCCUAUUCUAACUAGAUCUUAACAGUAGAAUUCACAUUCAUAAUUGUUAAUAUAUAUAGAGGGCUCGGAUAUCUCUGUCUAUUUAGGUGGUGAAAACAGAAAAGACAAAAGUAAGUUUUUCCAGGCAGUCCGUCAAAAGACAGACUUCACGAUUGUAAGCAACUUGAGGACAGAGCCCAUAUCUGUCUUGCUCACUAUAUUCUAAGGGUCUACUGCAGUGCAUGGCACAUUACAGACAGUUAAAGAUCUUUUGAAUUAAUAAUGAACAGUCGUAAAAGGGACAUUUUGAAAAUGGGGGCUGGUAUUUCCUACCUACUAAGAGUUUCACUUGAUUUGCUUCCUUCAGUGGAGUCCCUCAACGAGUUGUUGCUUCUGUUGGUAGAGGGAUGGGAGAAAUCACAGUUUAAAUAAUGUUAUUUCCUUACCAAUAUAACAAAAGUUUGUGAGAAAAAUAAUGUAUUCUUAUGUAGGGUGAAAUGGUAUCAUCUGACAGCUGGAUAAAUAAAUCAUAAACAUUAACUUAAUGAUAAAAUUGCUUCUCUCAACAUUACUUUUAGAUAGAUAUGGAUUCAAAAGAGUGAGAAUGGGGCAUUGGCUCUUCCAGGUGGAGGAAACAGAAUGGAGAAAAAGCUUGAAGACAAAAAUAAAUGAACUUUUGGGAAUCAGGAGGAGUCUGGUUUGAUUAGAGGAUAAUACAGGAGUGAAAGCAGAGUGGUCACAAGAGAGAUUCGUGUGACCACUCUGGGAGAUUCUUCAAUGUCAGACUGAGGGACAUGUACUUAAUGCAGUAGGCAGUGAGGAGCUACUGAAGAUUUUCAAGUAAUAGCUAUAGUGUCUUAAAGUACGAUAAAUAAUGAAUUAACAUUAGCCUUUUUUCUUUUUUGGCUAAAGUCAAUUUUUGAAAGCUGUCUUUGAUUAUGGUCUUAUUUGGAGUUAUGGAUUUCAUUUCUUUGUGCUUUUAAAAUUUUUCAUUUAAGAAUUCAGCUAUUCAAUUAUUGAUGAAAAUAGGAUGGUUUUCAGUAAGGUGCUUAUAGUCCUAAAUUGAAGUUUUUACAGUUUCCUUCUGAAUCAUCCUUUUCUCAAAAGUUAUGUAAGCCAUUGUAAAUAUGUGUAAAUGUAGAAAAAGUCUUCCAUUUUUGAUAUGGCAUACCAUAAUAAUAGCUUCAUAUGGA
rnacentral:lncRNA from 1 species